rnacentral:tRNA from 1 species
GAGGGUAUAGCUCAGUGGUAGAGUGCAUUCUUAGCAUGUACGAGGCCCUGGGUUCCAUCCCCAGUACCUCUG